UUCAAAUAGGUCUCAGUAACCCAAAUUAAAUGUUUCAGAUCAAAGGAACAGCUUUUGCAACUAAUAAUUCAUAUGGAUUUUAGAUAAAAUACCACGACACAAGUAUUCUGAAGUCUAACAGAUGAUUUUUAGAAUUCAGUCCACUCUCCAAAGCUGGUGGGUUGGAGCAUUUGAGCCAUGCGACACAAUUUUGGGACCCUUGUAAACAUCACUUUGGUGUGAUAUUAAGCAGAGAUUAACACAUUGCAGCUCAGAGUUUGGCUUCAACCUUUUCUGCUCAGCAGGCACCUUCUACCUAAAUUAAUGAAAAUGGCAUUGAGUUACUGAAUGUAUUGGAAUGCCUACAUUUCUUGUCAUCCAGUAAGGAUAUAAAAUCAAUCAAUGAGUUGACUGAACGUGCCCUUCAGAAUAUGGGAUAUGAUCUUCAUUUUUCCCCACUCUACAAGGACAAAAAGAGAUGCAAAGAGAAUCUCAAGCGACUUGCUUAAGUCCACUGGGUAAGCCAAAAUAUAACCAGUUGUCAAAUCCAGAGCUUCUGACUUCUAAAUCUCCAUUUCUAACCUACUUGAGCUCUCCAUCUCCACUGAAUGGCUGCCACUCCAAGCAGAAAAGACGGAAAAUGUUUUUAAGGGGUAAUUGACGGCUGGGAGGCAACAGUGGUAGGCGGACUAGCCUGGAGUGUGUCAAUCCAUCAGGAACGGAAUUGCUGUGUUCAAGCAGAAGCAGAAUUGAAAGCGGCACCAGAUACUGAAACUAGUAAAUGCAACACUACAAUGAGGUACACUUUGUAAAUAUAAACCUUAUAAGUUAGAGCCUAAUUCCA